AACGAACGCUGGCGGCAUGCCUAACACAUGCCAGUCGAACGAGACCUUCGGGUCUAGUGGCGCACGGGUGCGUAACGCGUGGGAACCUGCCCUUAGGUUCGGAAUAACUCCCCGAAAGGGGUGCUAAUACCGGAUAAUGUCUUCGGACCAAAGAUUUAUCGCCUUUGGAUGGGCCCGCGUUGGAUUAGCUAGUUGGUAGGGUAAAAGCCUACUAAGGCGACGAUCCAUAGCUGGUCUGAGAGGAUGAUCAGCCACACUGGGACUGAGACACGGCCAGACUCCACCGGAGGGAGGAGGGGGGGAUAAUGGACCAGUGGGCGAAGGCUUAUCCCGCCAUGGCGGGUGAGUGAUGAAAGGCUUUGGGUUUGUAAGCUCUUUUACCCGGGAUGAUAAUGACAGUACCGGGAGAAUAAGCUCCGGCUAACUCCGUG
rnacentral:rRNA from 1 species